rnacentral:rRNA from 1 species
GACGAACGCUGGCUGCGUGCUUAACACAUGCAAGUCGAACGGAAAGGCCCUGCUUUUGUGGGGUGCUCGAGUGGCGAACGGGUGAGUAACACGUGAGUAACCUGCCCUUGACUUUGGGAUAACUUCAGGAAACUGGGGCUAAUACCGGAUAGGAGCUCCUGCUGCAUGGUGGGGGUUGGAAAGUUUCGGCGGUUGGGGAUGGACUCGCGGCUUAUCAGCUUGUUGGUGGGGUAGUGGCUUACCAAGGCUUUGACGGGUAGCCGGCCUGAGAGGGUGACCGGCCACAUUGGGACUGAGAUACGGCCCAGACUCCUACGGGAGGCAGCAGUGGGGAAUAUUGCACAAUGGGCGGAAGCCUGAUGCAGCAACGCCGCGUGCGGGAUGACGGCCUUCGGGUUGUAAACCGCUUUCGCCUGUGACGAGGCGUGAGUGACGGUAAUGGGUAAAGAAGCACCGGCUAACUACGUGCCAGCAGCCGCGGUGAUACGUAGGGUGCGAGCGUUGUCCGGAUUUAUUGGGCGUAAAGGGCUCGUAGGUGGUUGAUCGCGUCGGAAGUGUAAUCUUGGGGCUUAACCCUGAGCGUGCUUUCGAUACGGGUUGACUUGAGGAAGGUAGGGGAGAAUGGAAUUCCUGGUGGAGCGGUGGAAUGCGCAGAUAUCAGGAGGAACACCAGUGGCGAAGGCGGUUCUCUGGGCCUUUCCUGACGCUGAGGAGCGUAAGCGUGGGGAGCGAACAGGCUUAGAUACCCUGGUAGUCCACGCUGUAAACGGUGGGUACUAGGUGUGGGGUCCAUUCCACGGGUUCCGUGCCGUAGCUAACGCUUUAAGUACCCCGCCUGGGGAGUACGGCCGCAAGGCUAAAACUCAAAGGAAUUGACGGGGCCCCGCACAAGCGGCGGAGCAUGCGGAUUAAUUCGAUGCAACGCGUAGAACCUUACCUGGGUUUGACAUGGAUCGGGAGUGCUCAGAGAUGGGUGUGCCUCUUUUGGGGUCGGUUCACAGGUGGUGCAUGGCUGUCGUCAGCUCGUGUCGUGAGAUGUUGGGUUAAGUCCCGCAACGAGCGCAACCCUUGUUCACUGUUGCCAGCACGUUAUGGUGGGGACUCAGUGGAGACCGCCGGGGUCAACUCGGAGGAAGGUGGGGAUGACGUCAAGUCAUCAUGCCCCUUAUGUCCAGGGCUUCACGCAUGCUACAAUGGCUGGUACAGAGAGUGGCGAGCCUGUGAGGGUGAGCGAAUCUCGGAAAGCCGGUCUCAGUUCGGAUUGGGGUCUGCAACUCGACCUCAUGAAGUCGGAGUCGCUAGUAAUCGCAGAUCAGCAACGCUGCGGUGAAUACGUUCCCGGG